AACGAACGCUGGCGGCAGGCCUAACACAUGCAAGUCGAACGCCCUAGCAAUAGGGAGUGGCAGACGGGUGAGUAACGCGUGGGAACGUACCCUUGGGUUCGGAAUAACCCCAGGGGAAACUUGGACUAAUACCGGAUACGUGCGAGAGCAGAAAGAUUUAUCGCCGAAGGAUCGGCCCGCGUCCGAUUAGCUAGUUGGUGAGGUAAUGGCUCACCAAGGCGACGAUCGGUAGCUGGUCNGAGAGGAUGAUCAGCCACACUGGGACUGAGACACGGCCC
rnacentral:rRNA from 1 species